UCUACGGGCGGCAGCAGUGAGGAAUAUUGGUCAAUGGACGCAAGUCUGAACCAGCCAUGCCGCGUGCAGGAAGACGGCUCUAUGAGUUGUAAACUUCUUUUAUACGAGGGUAAAAGCAGAUACGUGUAUCUCUCUGCAAGUAUCUUACGAAUAAGGGUCGGCUAACUCCGUGCCAGCAGCCGCGGUAAUACGGAGGAUUCGAGCGUUAUCCGGAUGUAUUGGGUUUAAAGGGUGCGUAGGCGGUUGGUUAAGUUAGGGGUGAAAUCCCGAGGCUCAACUUCGGAAUUGCAUUUGAUACUGUGCGGCUAGAGAGUAGUUGAGGUAAGCGGAAUGUAUGGUGUAGCGGUGAAAUGCUUAGAGAUCAUACAGAACACCGAUUGCGAAGGCAGCUUACCAAGCU
rnacentral:rRNA from 1 species